rnacentral:lncRNA from 7 species
GAUGUCUCCAUCUUCUUUGUGGUCAAUGGAGAGUCAAAAAGAUGCCUAGCAUCCAAGAAAAUGGAACAGAUUUGGGGAACAGAAGGGACAGGGGAAAUAAUGAUUGAGAAAGAGAGCUGAAGAACACCUUUAGGACAAUAACAUCUCAACAACUAUUCCUUUUCCUGCUAGAGAACUGAAAGAACUUUUUGUUUGUGACGUAACAGGAGAAAGCAAUAAGCCUUCUUUAGGAAUGAUAUGUUGAAGAAAGCUGAAAAUUAAGAAGACGGGGAAAUGAUAGUAGUCAGUGUAGGAAGAGAGGGGAUCUCCAGUGGGCAGUUCAACUGAUUUAUCUGAAGACAGAUUUAACCCCCCAUGGAGGUGCCUCUUUCUCCUAACUAUAGAAGAAGACGAAACAGUUUGUUUAGAUUAAACGCCCAUACUGGUUAGUUUUAUUUACAAGAGAGGACACCCAAGUUAUGGCACCUCGUGUUUUAGAACUACAGCUACUCAAGGUUCUCCACAGGCAAACAGCAGCAAUGGGGUCAGCUAUAAGAGUUUUGCAGAAAGAAAGGAUCUUGAGAGCAUUUUGGCGUUAAUCUGAUCAGUCUACUUAAUAACAUUGUAGAUAUGAGGAAAGGGGAACUGUAACUGUAUUUUUGUGUACAGAGCUAUACAAAUUAGGACAUUGCUUCCAACCCAAACCAUUCUAUGAUCUUUCUGUAGAUUCUUCUAAUGCAAAUCCCUGUGGGCAACUUAGCAUCCGUAACGAAAUAAAAAGAUGUUUUCUUGUUUUUAUUUAUUUGUACAGUAGAAUCUCAAUACUUUGUAUCAUUGCAUGGGAAGAUCUAUUGUAAAUGACAGAUUAAAUCAACACUUGGGGGAUCCAAAUUUUACUCAUUUAUUUCCUAACUGCCAUUUGUUUACAGUGACUUAUGUUAAUAAAUCAUCAUAUUGU